GACGUAGGGGGCAAGCGUUGUCCGGAUUUAUUGGGCGUAAAGAGCUCGUAGGCGGCCGUUCGCGUCGGAUGUGAAAGCUCAGGCUCAACUCUGAGACGCCAUUCGAUACGGGACGGCUAGAGGUAGGUAGGGGAAAGUGGAAUUCCUGGUGUAGCGGUGAAAUGCGCAGAUAUCAGGAGGAACACCGGUGGCGAAGGCGGCUUUCUGGGCCUUACCUGACGCUGAGGAGCGAAAGCUGGGGGAGCGAACGGG
rnacentral:rRNA from 1 species